GCCAGGAUAGCUCAGUCGGUAGAGCAAUGGACUGAAAAUCCAUGUGUCACCAGUUCAAACCUGGUUUCUGGCA
rnacentral:tRNA from 1 species